AGUACUAAUCUGUAAAAACUAUAAAUUUCUUCAGUACCAUUCUUUUUGUUGAGUCUAGUUUAACAAUUGAGACAUUUUGGUGUUUUCACCUUCUGCCUCCCUGAUUGGCUGGUAGUGCUCAUUCGUCUCACCUGUGAGGGAUUGGCUCGUUACUCCCAGGCUUUAUAAGGUUGCCUUGAGGAUCAGUUCAUCGCUGAAGCAUCACUACUGUUUGACUGAAGAAAGUUUUCAGAGAUUCUCUGAUCCUGCCACACCUGUCUGAGGACCUAGAGCCAUUCACCUGAUCGUUCAUGCGCUGCCUGUUUGCCUCCAACUCACCUGUAAAUAAGUACUCACCUGUAAAUACUCACCUGCCUGUAACACCUGUAAAUACUCACCUUUUGGACCCUGGAUCAGCUCCUCCACGCCGAAGUCUUAUCCCCAACCUGUCCUGACUCCUGCACCCGUUCCUGUAAAAUACACUGCUCAAAAAAAAUAAAGGGAACACUACUGCUCAAAGAAAAUAAAGGGAACACUUAACGCACGCAAA